rnacentral:lncRNA from 1 species
AUGUUCUUUCUGUGUUAUCAUUAUAUCAUACUUUUCCUCUCUCUUUUGUUUCAAAGGUAUGACAUGUUCCCAACUUGCUGCGUAGCAAUGACUGGAUGGGUGCUCAUGAAGGAGAUGUCUCAUUUCUCAUUUGUGGCUGGGAAGUCACCAGGACGCUUUCCUGAAGGACAUGUAGCCAGCUCUGCUCGCCUGGCGCGGCACUGUCCCAGCCCAGGCCAGAGACCCCUGUUCCCAGAGAAGAAUGUGCCCAAAAGAGAAGAGCUGGUCACUUGGGAAGAACUGCCUUUUGCAGUGGCUGACAGUCACAGAGACCAUUUGUGUCCCAAGGCCCGAACUCUGUCAUCUUUUGCCCCAUGUAGAAGGACAGCGGUAUGGAGCUGACUGUGACAUAUUACAAAUGAAUGGUAUAAAAAGCACUGACCAGAGCCCAUUUCCUGGUUCACGGCUCAAGUUCCACAUCUCCAGACCUUUUUGUAAGAGGCUAUGAGCAUUCAAAGAACUAAGCAGUUGCUGAAGCCUCAUUUCCUAUUUCAAACUGCACUGAGAGAACUACACUAAGAUGUCACCCCCCUCUGCAGGCCCAGCUCACUGUGUAGCUGGACAUGCCCCUCAGUUGUGGCAGCGUGCUAGUACUAAUGAUGCGCAGACCAGAAUACCUGGGAAGGGAAGAGGCGCAUGGGAUUCCUGCACUUGUCUGAAGGGUCCAAGAGACCUGACCUGCUUCCCAAUUAAAGAUGGUAGAAGACUUUUAAGGGUUAAAUUUAGACACGUGUUUCUAUCCUGGUUCCUGGGGAAGAGUUUACAUUCCUGGUGUAAAGAGAUUAAUAAAUGUUAAUUACUGCCUGGUUCA